UAUUUCUGAGCCGAGACCUAGCUGAUUAGCUCAGGGAAGGUAGAGCCCAGCUGGGGAGUGAGCAAUUAGAGGUAUAAGAAGCAGGUCUGCGUGAGUUUACCUGGGAGGAGGCUGGUAAGGGCUUCAGGGAGGCAAUGAGGAGUUAGAAGUAAACUUUCCCCUUCUACCGCCUCCCCCCCCCCCCCCCCCGUCAAUUACUUUCUAGAAAACUGCAGUAGAAUACAAGGGUAUGCACUUUCUAUCUAAACUAGUUCCAAGAAUAUGCCUCCAAAGCUAUGAAUUACUGAAAUUUGCAGAAAUAGCACUGGGCUGUUUUGAAAGCCAUCCUAUGAGAUGAGGAAAAAGAUACCUGGUUUGACUAUGAGCUUGAACAUGGAAAGACUUUGGACUUUUAUCCAUUCAGCCACACUUCUUUCUGAGACAGUUGCUUUUCUGUCCCAGGAGUCGUGGGCAAGGCUCCGAAAUAUCUGGAGGACAGCCAGAUCUUGACCUACCAGUAUGGGAUCCCGACCUCUCUCCAGAAGACAGGCCAGCAGUGGGACUUCCCCAAUGCCUGGGCCCCCUUGCAGGACCUGGUCAUCAGAGGAAGUGGCUUUCCAGCUGGCUCAGAAUUGGACCCGAACCAACUUUGAGGUCUACUCCAGAAAGUCAGCCAUGUAUGAGAAGUAUGACAUCAGCAACGGUGGUCAGCCAGGUGGUGGAGGGGAGUAUGAAGUUCAGGAGGGCUUUGGCUGGACCAGUGGAGUGGUCCUGAUGCUCCUGGCCCACUACAGCGACCGACUGGCUAUGGCAAUGAGCCAGAGAAACCAGGGCCCCAUCUUCCUGGACCUCACGUAAUUAGCAGGGAGAGUGCUGAUCGAAGCACAACUGAAAGUAAAAUGAGUUGAAGGCCUUAAUAGAAAAACACUGACCUCCCCCAAAGAAGAGGGAAUUCUGCCUAGAGACUGCCUUUAGACUUCUCUGGGCCUCUAGCCUAAGGAUCUAACUUGCAGCCUUUGGACUUGCCAGCUUCCAUAGUCACACCCAAGCCAUCGAUCCACACGUGGGACGGAAACUUGAGCCAUUCUGUUUGAGAUGUUAAAGGAAAAGGUAACUCUCUGCCGUGGUGAUCUUGGAGCCACCAGAGUGAUUGGCAUCUGGGUCACAGAUGUGGGACCAACUUGUGCCCCAGACACCGGGGCACCCCAGUCACCCACCACCACCCCACCACAUGAGGGAAGGGCUUGAGCAGGUGGCACCCGCUGAGACUAAGAAACGAAGAGAAAAAGUCCACAGUGGGGAGCAGGGGUCGGCUUCUGCAAGCUGAGCCGGGACAGCAAGGCCGCGCAGACCUGACAUACAGCGCCCAGGGUGGCCACGCAUCAGUUGUGGACUUUGGCAGCCCUGGUAGGCAGGUGAGUCAGCCUGCGCCCCUGCAAGCAAGAGGUACCUGGGCUUACUCCUUGGCUGAGGCCACAGUCACCAUGCCUGGGAGGGCCUUCAUGCUGUGCCAGCUGCUUCUGCUGGGGCUGGGGUCCCAGGGUACCCUGCCC